UCAAAAAAAAAAAAAAGACUGUCUUGGGGAUAUAAAAAUUGAAACUUGCCCAAAUGCAAAUUAUCAGACUUAAAGUCAGACCUACUGAGACAGAAACUGGGGGUGAGUGGGUCUCAGUACUCUGAAUUUAAACAAGUCCUCAUGGUCAUCCUGGUGUAGGCCAAAUUUUGAGAAUCCCUACCCUAGAGAAUCCUGAGACCCUUUGCUACUCAGCCAUCUGCCUGAUUAGGAAACUGUAAGUGGAAAACGGUGACAUUUGUCACCAAGAGGGAAUCUAGCAAGACUAGUGACUCUUCCGAGAGGAGAAGAACACAGGAGAGAGGAAUCCUGAUGGAACUACAGUUAGUCUCCCUGGAAUAAGGAAUUGAUGAGUUAGAUACUUCUUCCUGUGUAUUCCUGCCCUUACGGAGCCAAACUGAUCAAGGAAGGAACAUACCAUUGAUCAAUUUGUUUAAUAAACUUCAGUGGGGAUACAGCCUCCGGGGUGGAACUUGAAACUCAUCAGCUUAUAGUCACCAAGGCCUUUAAGUGCCAGGCUAAGACACUCAUGCCUUCUCCAGAAGAAGUCAACCAGACCCCAUACCUUAUGCCUGGCUCUGUCUUCCUGCUCUUUCAGUGGACAGAUCUUCUGUCUUCAUCAGAGAACACAAUUUGAGGAAGUUGGCCCUGCAGUGGGUCCAUGCUGCCAAGCCUACAUAGCCCAAGAACAGAAACCCAGGGACAUGUAUGUAAGUGACUCAGACAAAGCUUGUGGAGAGGAAGUUGGUGAUGUUUCCGUGGGAAAGGAUUCCUGGUGAGAGAAGCUUAAAACAUGUAGCCUACAAAGACCAACAGCAAUUAGUAAAGAAGCAAUGAAAACAGGCUUCUAAUCAAGUGAUCUCAGAAGGCAGCAAGCAAACUAAGGGAGACAAAAUCCAUGUUAUGAAGCAUAUUGAAACUCUAGAAGGCUAUUUUUAUUAUCUUUCCACAAUGUGCAGAACACAGCCAUUCUUAGAGAACUGUGGUGUCGGUUACUUUUGUUUUUACUACUAUUAUUAUUGUUUUGAGGGCUCAGGAGCACCCACAGGCAUUUGCUUUUUAGAAAUGUCCACCGUGAUGGCAACUCUAUUUCCAGUUGUGCUGUAUCUCUGAAAGUAAUGCAUGAGUAGGGUUGGAUUAUGUCAUUUUAAUGUAUUAAACCCAGUGAAAACCCAGUUCAUGUAUGAAUCACUAUGUUUUGUAAACAUGGAGUUAAAAUAAAACUUUUGUUGUUCUUCUGAAAAAAAUAUGAAUAAUGGGAUCUAUUCUCCUCUACCGAUAGUAUGUCCAAUAUUAACUCAUAGAAUAAAAGGUUGAUUUAUCAAUUCUUUCCUUUCUAGAAAAAAAGUCUCCAAGUGUAUGAAAGUAUAUGGUCAGAGAACUCUCAAGUGAAUAUCCAAUAUAGAAUGAAAAAAGUUUUAGUGUUUCUUUUUUGUUCAAGGAUAUUGAUUAUGGGAGGGGGAAGUGAAAAUAAGCAUUUUGGUAUGCAAAUAUAACUAUCUUUGGUGUUCAUUUGUCAUGUGUUGUAAAUUCAUCCUUGUCUAUAACCCUAGUAUUUCAUCCCUCCAUCUAAUAUGAAAUGACUUUGGUUUAGUAAUACAUUGUGUACAGACCAGGUAUUCUAAAUGUCUGAAUAUACUCAGCUUCUUCCUCUCAUAUCUAUCUCUAUAUAUCUGCCAUUUGGGAUCCCCUCAAAAUAAUUUAUUUAUUUCUUCUAUAUUUUAUCAAUGUACAGCUAAACAGCAUACUUUGUCCUAUAUCCAUUAUGUAUGCAUUAAACUUUUCUUUGUAUCAAACCCAAUGUUCUGAUAGAAGAUGAGGUGGGGAGGGGCUAAGAUACUCCCAAUGACCUUACCUCCUUGUUCUUAUGCCCUUGUGUGACUUCCAUGAUGUAUGGCAUGAACCUAGUGACUCCCUUUCAGCAAUGAGAACAUGGAAGAAGUGAUGGGAUGUCACUUCUGGGAAUAGAAAGUAAAGCAUCAGGCUUUCUACUGUGGAAAACACAAGGAGUUUUCCUAAAAAAAUUAAAAAUAGAACCACCAUAUUAUUUUGCAAUACAUUUGCUGUGUAUGUACCCAAAGGAAAUGAAAUACAUCUGUUGAAGAGACAUCUGAACUCCCAUUGUUACUGAAGCACAAUUCAUACUAGCCAAGGAAUGGAAAUAACCUAACUGUCCAUCAAUGGAUGAAUGGAUGGAUACAAAAAAUGUUGGACAUACACCAAUGAAUGUUAUUCAGCCAUAAAAGGAUGCCAUUCUACCAUUUGAGACAAAAUGGAUUGAAGGGGAAGACAUUAAAUAAGCCAGACUCUGAAGACAAGCACCACCUGAUAUCAUUUAGAAAGGUGGUCUCAGAAGUUGAUAGUUAGCAUGAUACUUAUCAGAGGCCAUGAAGAUUAGGAGGGAGUGAUGGGGAAGGAUUAAUUUUAGUUUUCUAGUUUGAGAGUAGCAAAUAAAAUAUAUACUGUAAUUUUUUAAAGUUAUAGGAAAGAAUUUUAAAUGUUUUCACCAUAAAGAAAUGACAGAUGAUUGAAGAAAUAUAAUCAUUAUGAUUUGACAUUACAUAAUGUAUACCUGAUUCCAAAUAUUACAUGUCAUGUUAAAUAUGUACAAUUAUUAUGUAUUGGUUAAAAAGAGAAAUCAAUAUUAAAAUAUAGUUUCC